UAUUUUACUGAUAUUUUUGUUUAUAGUUUUAAUUAGAUCUCCGGUUAUAUUCUAUAUACAUCGCCACCGUCUUGAUUCCAGAUUAUCAUUAUUCAUUGUGUUUUGAAGUUCCUGUCGUAGAUUUAUGGUCGAGCCAUCCCCCAGCUUUUAAUGUGUGAUAUCUUCUAUUCACAAUGUCCUAAUGAGUUGAGCAGCUGGCAAAUAAAAGUCAAAGAGAGAAGAGAGAGGUUCAAGUUGUGCUCCGUGGACAAGGACUAGGAGGUUUCUGAUCCGAAUCCUCACAACUCCACUGUAAGGUCUCUCAACCACAAUUGUACAGGUUCUGCUGAGUACACAAGUCUAAGAUAUCUUGAGAGCUCAUCAGCGGAAUCAAGUUCGGAUCUAGAAAGACGAGACAUAAACAUUCAAGACCUGAAACAAGAGCAGGAGCAACCAAGUCCUGUCUCUUUUCUAGAGAGGAUACGUCUGGAAGAAGAAACAGUAGAAGAGAAGAUUAGAUUGCUAGCUUUUGAUGAUUCAGGCAUGAAUCUUCUAGAAAAGGACUCAGUUCACAAGUUUGUGAAGAAAGUUCUUGAAGUUUUAAGACUGAACUGGACUAAUCUCAUGGCAAGAUUCAUCAAGGAAACAUCACUACUCGACGAAUUCUCACACGAAGCUUCUUCUGGUUCUUGAUCACACGGACGGGAAUCUCUAAGAGAUUUGCCAUCAAGACAUCAUCAAGUUUUGGCCUUUUUUGAGAGUUAUCAUCAAUCUACCAUCUUCUUCCUUUAGAGAAGACCUGAUUGACGAGAAGCUGAGACGUUUCGACUGGGGUUUACUCUGCUGUGAAACUCCAAAAACGUUGGAUCAGAUCAUUGAGACUGAUGUGGUAAAGCCAUCAUGUCUUUGGUCGGGUUUUGGUGGUGAAGCUGAAGGUGUUUAUCUGUACCAGAAGAGUAACUGAAAUAAAGGUGGAGAAGGGAUGGUGCAGUGUUUCCUGCUCAAACUGGGCCAAUCAACUUUAGUGCACAGUAUCAUCUUUCACAUGUCUUCCUUGCAACAAUACCAGUGCAGUUGGUGUCCUCCGGUACGGUGUGGAGAUGUCCGUUGCAGAUGAAACUGGUAAAGCUUUGUUUGUCUGUUUCGACGAGGUAAUGACCAAACAUCACAACAUGAGGGCCUUUGAAGCUGACCAUCUUUUGGCUGGUGAUGGUGUCAACCCGGAGGAAACACAGGCCCCGCCAUUUGUGUGAGACAUGGUUGGUAAGACCUACACAUUCCAGGUGAGGGUGAGUUCACUUAAAUUCACAGCAAAUCAUCAGACCUUUACUGUCUCGCGCAUCCUCAGUGAGCGUGACCGUGUGCUGCAGCCUGCAUUUGUUGAUAAUCUAAGGUUUAUGGAAUGGAGGCGACGUUUACAAUGGAGAUGACAACCCCGAUGCCAUCACAGUGCCUUCUAAGGUUGAAACUGGUGGACCUAGCCAGGCGCAAGUAGCAUCGGAGAAGGUGAAGAAAGCACGCAAGGCAUAGGUGAAGAGGAUUGGAGUACAAGACGCAGUUUUUCCUGUGUGUUUUUUAAUGCUGAAGUCGUUUAUGUUGUUUUUUUUUUCCUUUUCUGGUGUUUGCUUUAUUAACAAGUUUGACUUUUACACUUUCCUACUUCUAUAGUUUUGGUUUUCUUGAUACCAAAUAUAAAAUAUAUCUCAUUUAGGAAAUAUUUGGUAUUAUAUGGUUUUUUUUAAUUCAAGUUAGUAUUCUCUAUAUUCUGUCAUGAUUGUAAAUAUGAUCAUGUUUAACGUAGGCAAUCAUCCGCAUAUUUUGAGUCCAAUUUGACAACGACAACAUAUACUAAACAUGCGAUGGGUCCAUUCAUAUUCGAUAUUUCCCUUCAUUUGCAUUUUAUUCAACAAAUACUAAAUAUAAAUAUAAUGCUCACACAGUACCUGCGGCUCCAUAAUAGUUAAGAAGCUAAACACAUGACCCGUAUACAUUAUAUUUAUAGUAUACAUAUAUUUUUAGCUUAGCAUUGAACUGGUUUACUUGGUACGCUAUCUCUGAUCCUGUAUGUUCUCAAGUACUGACUUUAUCACUCUCUUCGCCGGAAAAGGAGCCAAUGUGUUCUUCAACAAUUAUAGGCUUCGACGACGGUGUCGUUCACCAGUGUUUUAAGUGUCAUAUUUUGAAAGACUGGACUCCUUCUUCUCUUAUUGUCUUACAUUUGCUACUUUUAUGAAAACCUUUUUCUUAACGCUUAAACAUUGUUUUAAAUUUAAGGUUUCAUAUAAAGAGUCUGUGACACAUAUUAUAUAUAUAUAUAUAUAUAUAUAUAUAUAUAUAUAUAUAUAUAUAUAUACUAUGUUUUAAAGAUCCAAGAUAUCCACAAAUAUAUAAUAGAAUUAUAUGCAUACUACAAAGACACCAGAAAGAAAGAGCCAGCAUAAAUUAAAAAAAAACCCAUGUUUAAUUAAAUAAACUAUUAUGUGUACUUGAAAUAUUCUUUCAUGAAUAUUAUAGCAAGAAAGGUAGAAAAAAAUUAUAACUAACAUUCAGUAAGAGAAUAUUAACUUUAUCGUACAUAUUUAUGUGUAAAUCAAAUUACUCUUUAAUAUAAAAAAUAUAGUUUAAUUAGUCAAACUUCUCAAUUAUUGUACUGUAAAACUUUCAAUGGUUGAUUAGAAAGAGUAAUUUAACUAUAACUAACAAAUCCCUAUAAGGAAAGUUAUAUAUAUAGUUAGAUAUAUGCAAUGAGCAUAAAAAUUUUAAGUCCCCUAAUGAAAUAUAAAACAAAAAGUAGAAAAAUAUAGAAAAAUAAUUAGUAGACCAAUUAAGAUAAUAGUAAUAAAAAACUUUAAAAGUAAAUUAUUAAACCAUAAUAUUAUUAAAUAAGUAAAUAUUAAAUCAGAUGUUUGUCGACGGAAAUGUCAAAGUAUGUUUUGUUUAUUUUCCUAAAAUUGGACUGUAGGCAAAAAAAAAACAAAUAUCAAUAAAAUUGUAUUAUGUAUAUUAUUAAACCCCUUAAACAUACUACUAUAUUAUAUAAUAAAAGCAGCAUCUUUGGUUCGCUUGGUUUGUUCAGUUAAUAAACCAUACUAUAUCCAUAAACCGUGAUUUUUUAAAUAUAAUAUCAAUUCACUAUAAUCAUUAUUACCAAAUCUAAACCAUGUUUACUGGAUCCGCAUGAACACAAAAUGCUCUACAUUUUGAGACGCAAUAUUUUAGUCAAAAUGAUUCUCAUUUUUGCGUACUGUGCUUAGAUUGUCCAAAAUAAUACAUUUGUUGCGUUUUUUUCGUUUCUCUUUAUUUAUUAUUAAACUUAUAACCACGAUCAAUUGCAUUAUAUAUAAGUAAAUAUAACUAAAAAUAGCACAAAAAGCCAAACAAGUAACAAAAAUUGAUAAUAAUAUCAGUUACUAACAUUCACCAAAACAUUUAUACUAACUUACCACACUAUAAAUUCUUUCAAUUCAAAAUUAAAAAUCCAACAAUACUAAGUACUCGGUCAUCAUUAGUUAGUUAUAUAAUUCAAAUUUGGUGUUCACAAUAAUCAUACUCACACCAAAUUUAACAUAAAAAGAAAUUUACACAAAGUAACAUUUUUUAUAAAAAUCAACCCAUCAAAUCCCGCCUGUAAGGCGGGUCUACCCUAGUAUUUGAUAUAGGAUUCGAUUGGUAAUGGCUGUAGAUUUAAAAAAUUUGCUGUAGAAAUAAAUCUGUAAAUUUUUUGAUGUGGCUUUAGAUUUUGUUGUUUUAGAAUUUUAAAGAAAGCUCCAAAAAAUUACGCUGGAUUUUUGGCUAUGUAGACAGCUGUAUGUUAUGUAAAGAGCUGUGAUUUUGAAAUUUUUAUUAAAGUUUGAUUGCUGUGAAUUUAGUGCUGUAUAAAUAAAUGGGGUUGUGAAUAGAACGAAAAGCCUAUAGGCCUAUCAAAGAAUAAAUGAUUAAAUAAAAUCUUAUUUUUUUCUAAAAUUAAAUGGAUUCAAUUGUUUUUGUGCGAAAAAUCUUACUAUAUGAAAAAUAUGUUAGACUUCAAAAUAUAUAUAAAUCUUCAUAGAAUGAAGACAUAAUUUUCUUUAUCUAAUUGAACUUUUAUAUAACAUACCACCAACAGACAGUUAAUUAUUAAUUAAUUAGGAAAGACAUAGCCAACAUGCAGUAAAUUAUAAAAAAAAAAAACUAUGGUGAGUGAUGGGAGGAAUAGUCCAUGUAUAAAUUCUUAAAUGGUUUCUAUUAUGAAGUGGUUAAAUGGUCAAGCUAUUGAAAAUAUAUAACUUUUUAUUAUGAAAAGUUUCAAUAGUUAAGUUUAUGAAACAACACAACUUUUUAAGCAUAGAACAUGUCUUUUGUUUAAGUGAAUUUAUGAUUUUGGACUCAUGAUAUUAAAUGAAACAAUAUCCGUUAGACUAAUGAUUAGAUAUAAACUUCAUCGUUAUCUAUACUAUACUAAAAGCAAUAUAUCCUCAAAGGAGAGGGAUGCCACCUCAGAUUAAAAAAUUAGCCAAUAAAAAUAAAUUAUAGUGCCACAUCAUCAUUAUAUUCUCUGUCUCGCGAAUAUCAUCUACGUUUCCUCUUCCUUUUUUUUCCCAAUAAAGAUGGUCUUCCUGUUCAUCUUCCUUUCUCUCAGCGUACAAUUUUUUACUCCCACAAACUCUUUGUCUGCCUUUCUUUACAAUCCAAGCUUUAUUCGAUUUGAAACCAAAAGGAUAACUCAAACCCUAUAAAUAAGAGAAGUUUGCGAUUCCAAUCCCCCUACACCGACACCUUCUAAUCUUUCAUCUACUUGCCAAAAGCCAGACGCCUCCUUCAAGAAUGUAUUCCUCUGACGUUGUUGUUGCCCAAUCAGAUAUCACUCAACCUUUGAUGCUCUCCGAUUUGGUAGGACUUCCCAAUACAUUGUUGGUCGUCUCCUCCUUUUCUGUGGUUCGCUGGGAUUCGCGCAACAUAAAAAAAAAGGGGUUACGGGAAUCAUCCUCUUUUUCCUUGAUGAAAAGAAUUAGGUGAUUCAAAGAUUCAUCCCAUCUGCUCGCGCCGAUCACUACCGUCCAUCUUUAGUGGACGGUUCCAUUAUAAAACUUGAUAGGAAUUUAUGCUUCAGAAAUUCCUGCCAUGAGAGAGUUCACAGCCAGCUUGGGAGGUGCAGCAGGAGAGAUCGGAACACUUUCAUCUCCAACUCUAAUCAGCAGACGCGAGAAGCUGAUUUCAUUUGCAAAGCGCCGAUUGUUGAGGUCCUCCACCAGAAUGGCAGGCCGUUCGUUGCUUGCAUCGGGUGCAACAGAAGUUGGACAAAUGUGGCACUUCUCUUCGUUGCAACAAAUGCGUUUCUCCCAACGUUACCGGUGUUAC